UAGUCCACGCCGUAAACGAUGGUCACUAGCUGUUCGGACUUCGGUCUGAGUGGCUAAGCGAAAGUGAUAAGUGACCCACCUGGGGAGUACGUUCGCAAGAAUGAAACUCAAAGGAAUUGACGGGGGCCCGCACAAGCGGUGGAGCAUGUGGUUUAAUUCGAUGAUACGCGAGGAACCUUACCAGGGCUUAAAUGUAAGUUGCAUUAGGCAGAGAUGCUUAUUUCUUCGGACUACUUACAAGGUGCUGCAUGGUUGUCGUCAGCUCGUGCCGUGAGGUGUCAGGUUAAGUCCUAUAACGAGCGCAACCCCUGUUGUUAGUUGCCAGCAUGUAAAGAUGGGAACUCUAACAAGACUGCCAGUGCAAACUGUGAGGAAGGUGGGGAUGACGUCAAAUCAUCACGGCCCUUACGUCCUGGGCUACACACGUGCUACAAUGGACGGUACAACGGGUAGCGAGCUUGCGAAAGUCAGCCAAUCCCAAAAAGCCGUUCUCAGUUCGGA
rnacentral:rRNA from 1 species